rnacentral:lncRNA from 1 species
UUUUUUCUAGGGUUUUUCUCCAAUGAAAUUUAGAAUUUAUACUCUGACUUUUGUUGCUUGGUGGGCUCAAAUGAGGGAAAAUCAAGCCCAUGAUUUUUCUGUUAUAUAUUUUUAUUUUUAAAACGCGUGGGCUUCGCCUAGCGAAGAAUUUGCUCGCCUAGCGAGCAUGAUAGUUCAGGGAGUUCUUCUGAGCACAGGUGACUCUGGUGGCUUUCUUGGGACUCGCUAGGCGAACCAUUCUACUCGCCUAGCGAACAUGACAGUUCGG